rnacentral:rRNA from 1 species
UAACCUGCGGAGGGAUCAUUACCGAGUUUACAACUCCCAAACCCAUGUGAACAUACCUACUGUUGCUUCGGCGGGAUUGCCCCGGGCGCCUCGUGUGCCCCGGAUCAGGCGCCCGCCUAGGAAACUUAACUCUUGUUUUAUUUUGGAAUCUUCUGAGUAGUUUUUACAAAUAAAUAAAAACUUUCAACAACGGAUCUCUUGGUUCUGGCAUCGAUGAAGAACGCAGCGAAAUGCGAUAAGUAAUGUGAAUUGCAGAAUUCAGUGAAUCAUCGAAUCUUUGAACGCACAUUGCGCCCGCCAGUAUUCUGGCGGGCAUGCCUGUCUGAGCGUCAUUUCAACCCUCAUGCCCCUAGGGCGUGGUGUUGGGGAUCGGCCAAAGCCCGCGAGGGACGGCCGGCCCCUAAAUCUAGUGGCGGACCCGUCGUGGCCUCCUCUGCGAAGUAGUGAUAUUCCGCAUCGGAGAGCGACGAGCCCCUGCCGUUAAACCCCCAACUUUCCAAGGUUGACCUCAGAUCAGGUAGGAAUACCCGCUGAACUUAAGCAUAUCAAUAAGCC